ensembl:lncRNA
GGGAGCGGAGCCGGGGCGUCACACCGAGUCCAAGCGCGGAGCACCCCAGGGCCCAGGCGCUUGCAGGGAAUACAAGAAAACCAGGUCUGCGUCAGUCCAGUCCAUCUUGUGCUAAGACCUCCUUUCCUCAUCAGCUCAUCUGAGGUUCUUAUCACAGUGGCUAAACACUUCUACGAGCUGUUUGCUCACUAACCUUGCCAGUAACGCCAGAGGGGGGUGGCCUCACUGUCACAUCACAGACCAGGACUCUGGAAUACCAGAGGGUGUGGAACUGGCCCAAGGUCCCAGAUCUUUCUCACUUCAGAUUCCUGGGACAUGUGACUUGCUGCGUUGCAGCUGGCGAGGACUUGGGAAAUCAAAUCCAAGCGGUCCCCUUUCAGAGGAGAGUGACUGAGGGGACCCAGCUCAGGUGACCCAGCCAGGUGCUCAGAGGUAGGUCCGGGACUUGGGCCUGGGUUUCUGGAUACCUGAUGUAUUAGGCAUGCUUCUAUUGCUGUGAAAAAACACCACGACCAAGGCGACUCACAGAAGGAAGUGUUUAUUUGGCUUAUGGCUCCUCAGGGAUA